UGACACGGAAGGCCCACAGAGUGGGGCGGAAUCACAGGAUGGUCAGAGUCCGGGCACCAGGACACACCCCCACACACCCCAUCCCAUUCCCCCACAGCGGCCCAAGUCGGUCCGGGAGGACAGAGGAAGAGCCACCGGCAGCUUCCACCAACCCCGGGAUGAAAACUUCCCUGUACAUCAUACAUCCUGAGCACUAUGAAAGCUACUGAGGAGAUACCAACAAGAGAGAAAUCAAGAAAGUCAGAUCCGCAGACAUGUAGGGCAGACCUACUUAGAGGCGAACCACCUCAGCCAAUCCACAGACCAGUGAGCAAGAAACACAACUUUAGUUGUCAGGAGCCAGAGAGCUGAGACCGGAGUGUUGCUGCUGCUAUAAAAUCUGACUCCUGUGCUCGGCCAACUGAAUCCCAUCUAAAUGCUUCCUUCAGUGGAACCUUUACAGCUUCCUGAUGGGCUGCUCUUGCAGGGCUAAAUCUCAAAAUCCAUCCUGUGCCCCACUGUGGUGGAUUCUGACUCCAGAUAAAUAGGGAAGUGUUGAAUAGAAGAGAGUUACAUCCCAGAAUGUCAGUGGUCAUGUUAUUGUCCAAAUUCUGGGGAAAUUUGUUUGGGCCAGGAGUUUUGAAAUGUUUGAGCAAAGACUGAAGAACACAGUACUGAUGAUUCUGUUUGUUGUCGUCUUGCUGCUAUAUUCAGGAUGCUGGCCGAGGCUGCUAGCUGGGGCUCUCAGGGGUUGGAUUAACUAAUGCAAAUCUGGCCCAAUAUGUGCAGCUCCCCAGGGGACACUGAAAGGCCAUAUAGCACCUAAGCAGUGGAAAGGAAUUCAGACUUAUGGCACCUGGAAGCUUCUCCCCCACCUCCUUUUUUUGUCACUAGGAGUGGAUUGAUCAAAGAAGUAUUUGGAUCUUUCAAAGCAUGCUCCCUGACCCUCCAUAUACGUGGCUCAUGCUUCUACAGCACUGGCCAAGUGUUCUGUUCUAAGUAGUUGGCGUAUUAAGUCGUUUAAAUCCCAAGCAAUCCAAUGAAGUGAGUGACAGUAUUAUAUUGACAGAGAAAUUGAGACACAGAGAAAGAGUUUUCUCAAAAUGACAUGGCUAGAAAGUGGCAA
rnacentral:lncRNA from 1 species